GUGGGGAAUAUUCCGCAAUGGACGAAAGUCUGACGGAGCAACGCCGCGUGAGUGAUGAAGGUUUUCGGACUGUAAAGCUCUGUUGUUUAGGACGAAAGUGCCUGUUGCAAAUAGUUACAGGUAUUGACGGUACUGAACGAGGAAGCCACGGCUAACUACGUGCCAGCAGCCGCGGUAAUACGUAGGUGGCAAGCGUUGUCCGGAAUUAUUGGGCGUAAAGAGCAUGUAGGCGGGAAUCUACGUCUGGUGUGAAAAUGCGGGGCUCAACCCCGUAUUGCGAUGGAAACUGGGUUUCUUGAGUGCAGGAGAGGAAAGGGGAAUUCCCAGUGUAGCGGUGAAAUGCGUAGAUAUUGGGAGGAACACCAGUGGCGAAGGCGCCUUUCUGGACUGUGUCUGACGCUGAGAUGCGAAAGCCAGGGUAGCGAACGGGAUUAGAAACCCCUGUAGUCC
rnacentral:rRNA from 1 species